CCUACGGGGGGCAGCAGUGGGGGAUAUUGGACAAUGGGGGGAACCCUGAUCCAGCGACGCCGCGUGAGUGAAGAAGUAUUUCGGUAUGUAAAGCUCUGUCAGCAGGGAAGAAAGAAAUGACGGUACCUUACCAAGAAGCCCCGGCUAACUACGUGCCAGCAGCCGCGGUAAUACGUAGGGGGCAAGCGUUAUCCGGAAUUACUGGGUGUAAAGGGAGCGUAGACGGUUAAGUAAGUCUGGGGUGAAAGGCCGGGGGCCAACCCCGGGACUGCUCUGGAAACUAUUGAACUUGAGUGCAGGGGAGGUAAGCGGAAUUCCUAGUGUAGCGGUGAAAUGCGUAGAUAUUAGGAGGAACACCAGUGGCGAAGGCGGCUUACUGGACUGUAACUGACGUUGAGGCUCGAAAGCGUGGGGAGCAAACAGGAUUAGAUACCCCAGUAGUC
rnacentral:rRNA from 1 species